rnacentral:rRNA from 1 species
CAUGCAAGUCGAACGGAGCUGCUUUGAUGAGAUCUUCGGAUGGAUUUAAAACAGCUUAGUGGCGGACGGGUGAGUAACGCGUGGGUAACCUGCCUCACACUGGGGGAUAACAGUUAGAAAUAGCUGCUAAUACCGCAUAAGCGCACGGUUCCGCAUGGAACAGUGUGAAAAACUCCGGUGGUGUGAGAUGGACCCGCGUCUGAUUAGCCAGUUGGCGGGGUAACGGCCCACCAAAGCGACGAUCAGUAGCCGGCCUGAGAGGGUGAACGGCCACAUUGGGACUGAGACACGGCCCAAACUCCUACGGGAGGCAGCAGUGGGGAGUAUUGCACAAUGGGGGAAACCCUGAUGCGGCGACGCCGCGUGAGUGAAGAAGUAUUUCGGUAUGUAAAGCUCUAUCAGCAGGGAAGAAAGUGACGGUACCUGAAUAAGAAGCCCCGGCUAACUACGUGCCAGCAGCCGCGGUAAUACGUAGGGGGCAAGCGUUAUCCGGAUUUACUGGGUGUAAAGGGAGCGUAGACGGCAAGGCAAGUCUGAAGUGAAAGCCCGGUGCUUAACGCCGGGACUGCUUUGGAAACUGUUUAGCUGGAGUGCCGGAGAGGUAAGCGGAAUUCCUAGUGUAGCGGUGAAAUGCGUAGAUAUUAGGAAGAACACCAGUGGCGAAGGCGGCUUACUGGACGGUAACUGACGUUGAGGCUCGAA